ACGAACGCUGGCGGCGUGCUUAACACAUGCAAGUCGAACGGAAAGGCCCCUUUGGGGGUACUCGAGUGGCGAACGGGUGAGUAACACGUGAGUAACCUGCCCUUGACUUCGGGAUAACUUCAGGAAACUGGGGCUAAUACCGGAUAGGAAUCCUUGCUGCAUGGUGGGGGUUGGAAAGCUUCGGCGGUUUUGGAUGGACUCGCGGCUUAUCAGCUUGUUGGUGGGGUAGUGGCUUACCAAGGCUUUGACGGGUAGCCGGCCUGAGAGGGCGACCGGCCACAUUGGGACUGAGAUACGGCCCAGACUCCUACGGGAGGCAGCAGUGGGGAAUAUUGCACAAUGGGCGGAAGCCUGAUGCAGCAACGCCGCGUGCGGGAUGACGGCCUUCGGGUUGUAAACCGCUUUCAGCAGGGGUGAAGCUUGUGGUGACGGUACCUGCAGAAGAAGCACCGGCUAACUACGUG
rnacentral:rRNA from 1 species